rnacentral:rRNA from 1 species
CUACGGGUCGCAGCAGUCGGGAAACUUCUGCAAUGCGCGCAAGCGUGACAGAGCAAGUCAGAGUGCUUUCCUAUAAUUGGAAAGCUUUUGUGAGAUGUAAAAAGUCUUACGAAUAAGGACUGGGUAAGACUGGUGCCAGCCGCCGCGGUAAUACCAGCAGUCCAAGUGGCAGCCGCUUUUAUUGGGUCUAAAACAUCCGUAGCUUGCUUUGUAAGUCUCGUGUGAAAUCUGGCGUCUUAAGUGUCAGGCGUGCACGAGAUACUGCAAGGCUAGAGACCGGGAGGCGUAAGGAGUACGGACAGGGUAGCGGUAAAAUGCGUUGAUCCUGUUUGGACUAACGAUAGCGAAGGCACCUUACGAGAACGGAUCUGACAGUGAGGGAUGAAGGCUAGGGGCGCAAAACGGAUUAGAUACCCGCGUAGUC